rnacentral:rRNA from 1 species
AGUGAACGCUGGCGGUAGGCCUAACACAUGCAAGUCGAACGGCAGCACAGGAGAGCUUGCUCUCUGGGUGGCGAGUGGCGGACGGGUGAGGAAUACAUCGGAAUCUACUCUGUCGUGGGGGAUAACGUAGGGAAACUUACGCUAAUACCGCAUACGACCUACGGAUGAAAGCAGGGGAUCUUCGGACCUUGCGCGAUUGAAUGAGCCGAUGUCGGAUUAGCUAGUUGGCGGGGUAAAGGCCCACCAAGGCGACGAUCCGUAGCUGGUCUGAGAGGAUGAUCAGCCACACUGGAACGGAGACACGGUCCAGACUCCUACGGGAGGCAGCAGUGGGGAAUAUUGGACAAUGGGCGCAAGCCUGAUCCAGCCAUACCGCGUGGGUGAAGAAGGCCUUCGGGUUGUAAAGCCCUUUUGUUGGGAAAGAAAUCCAGCUGGCUAAUACCCGGUUGGGAUGACGGUACCCAAAGAAUAAGCACCGGCUAACUUCGUGCCAGCAGCCGCGGUAA